ACUGUAGGUUCUACUCCCUCAAGUCUCGUCCUCCCGGCUUGCCUGCUCAGGUCACGGAUACUCCGAUCUUGAGAUGAAGCAUUUCUUAAUGUUGCUAGAUACGUAUAAACUAAUAGGAAGGAGCUCCCUCUGAAAACCCAUGCUGAACAGGCGACAUGUUCUAGAUGCCCAUUUUAGUUCUUCAGAAAGCACAGCCGCCUCUUCCGGAUUCAAGACUCCAUCUCCAGCAUCACGGUCUAAGGAGAAUCCACACAAAACAAAAGAAACAUCUCAAAACCAGCUCUGUAUUCAGGAACCUCAGGGCUAAGCAGCCUGAACGAGAGCUGAAGGAGACUCGGCUGGCAAGACUGUGUUGCCACAGCACCUGUUUGGAUACCAGCCAUGUACUCAGGUGCUCAGAGUCCAGAAGAUGACACAAGUUCCCCUGGAGCUGGAGUUACAAGUCGUUGUGAGCCACUUGAAAUGGUUUCUGGGACCUGAACUCCAGCAGCAAGUGCUCUUACCACUGAACCAUCUCUCCAGUCCUAAGAGACUUUUAACUUCUGGGGUCUUUUGGGGGUAGGGUCAGGGUUCAAGACAGGGUUUCUUUGUGUAGGCAUGGCUGGCCUGGAACUCACAGAGAUCUGCCUGCCUCUACCUCCCAAGUGCUAGAUUAAAGGCAUGCGCCACCACUGCCCAGCCUCAAAUAUAUCAUUUUUAAUUUUUGGAUUUCAUCAAAAAAUGGAAGUGUUCUGUUUUUAGUGAAUUGUUGGGCAAUUUGCUACUAAAACGAUCUAAAGUCUAUCACUUAUUGUAAAUAACAUAAUUAGAAAAAUAAUUACUGUAAAAAGAAUAAUUUUAAGCAAGUUUAAAGACAUCAAGAUAGCAAGCUAUUCCAUACCUAUUCGUGUCUUGGGUCACUUUAGAAUCUCCUUCCAUUAAUUUGCUACUGGCAGACUUAUUGAGAAUAUUAAUCUUGGUUUUAAAACACGGUAGUGAAAGCAGAGUGUACUUCAAAACUACACUAAAGAAAGCCAAAGGGAAGCUCACAAGGCCAAAUGGCACACACAACUGUGUUCCACCUGGAUGGUAUUGUUCAGGGGGUGUUGUCAAUGUUACCUGCCACAGAACUCCACACUAAACAGAAGCCAUUCUCUGUGAGACCCACCUCACCAUGUAGUUGGCCUAGACCUUGCCUUGAAUUUACAGCCAUCUCUCCACCUCAGUCUCCCAAGUGCUAGGGUACAGGUGUAUACUACCAUGGCUUUACUGUUUAUUAAUAAUGGGCUUCUGCCCUCUGCUAAUAGUUUCCUCACUCUUCUGUCUGCUCUACCUAGUAAUGUUCUAUCAAAAUCCAACUUAUGACUGCAGUCCACCAUGGCAGCAUCGACACAGCUUCCCCAGAUGACUUCUCCGCACUGUUUGUGUAAAUAAUGUAAUAAGUACAGCUUUCCUACGUUGCUCGUCAUUGUCUUCUUCAUGUUCUUUUGGGAUUCUCUUACAUUUCUGUCUUCCCAGUUGGAAUACGAACUCUCAAGAGAAACCUAACUUAGCAGUUGUUUGUGUCUGCUUUCCUCUCCACGGCCUCGUAACCAUUCUGGCAGACGGAAUUCCUCACUGCGUAUACUUGCUGUGUUUUAGGGGCUUAUCCCUUCCAAGUCAAGUCAUAAAAUAGGGCAACACAUGUGUGGAAUGUCCCUUCAGUGGACAGUUAGACAGAUGCCUACUGUAGUCUUAAUUCCUCUCAUCAGUUCAUCCGACAGUAGGUUCACAGUAGACUUACAUGACCCCCUUUCUGCUGUUUCUUCUUGAGCCCUUCUAGCACCCCUUCCCCCCCCCCCCUUGCCCAAUCUAAGACACAAGAUCUAGCAAGGCACAAGGCUCCUGCAGUUCACCUUCUUUCAGCACUUUCCCUUGUUUGGGUAAUAACAGGCCAUAACAAUAACUAUUUGGAGAGAGAUUUCAGGUUCAACAACUCCUAUGAACAGGGCAUUGGGAUCAUUUUCCACUGAAAUAAAAUAGCUUUUAAAAGAUGAAGUCCGGGACAACUUGAAAGCCAUGAAUGAGUCAUUUCUUACAUGUUAAAAAAAAAUGAAAGCAGGCUGGGCAGUGGUGGUGCACGCCUUUAAUCCUAGCAACUGGGAGGCAGAGGCAGGUGGAUCUCUGUGAGUUCAAGGCCAGCCUGGUCUACAGAGCUAGUUCCAGGACAUCCAGGGCUAUACAGAGAAAUCCUGUCUCAAAAAACCAAAACCAAGCCAAACAAAAAACAAAAAUAGCUGAGUUAUAUGCCCUCUCCAAUGAAAACUGUACCUAAAAGGUAUUUUAUUAGAAUUUUUCAUUUGAAUGGUGGAGAAUCCUCAGUCAAGUUUCCAAGGAAAGAAUUAACUUCUAAUGUCACAGGCAUGUUUUCUGUAGUGAAC